UUAGGAAUGGCUGGUGGCGGAGAUAUUGAAAUUGACUAUGACGGCGAAGACAGUAAAGACACCUUUAGGGUGAAAGUAAUAUGUUUAGGCGACAGUGCCGUGGGAAAAUCAAAGUUGGUUGAGAGAUUUUUGUUGGACAAGUAUAAACCGCAUCAGCUCUCAACAUACGCACUGACGCUGUUUCGUUAUGAAACGAACGUAAACGAAGAGUCUGUUACAGUAGACUUCUGGGACACCGCUGGUCAAGAAAUGUUUCAGUCGUUACAUCCAUCAUACUACCAUCAAGCACAUGCGUGUAUUAUGGUAUUUGAUGCAACAAGAAAAAUAACAUACAAAAAUCUUGGUAAAUGGUAUGAGGAAUUACGCUACUACCGGCCACAAAUACCUGUACUUUGUGCAGCAAAUAAGAUCGACGCCAAUAUGGAAGUUACCCAGCGGUCGUUUGCUUUCUCUCAGAAAAAUAACUUGCCUUUGUACUAUGUGUCUGCUUCAGAUGGGACCAAUGUAGUGAAGCUUUUCCGUGAUGCCAUACAUGGAGCUGUGCAGUACAAGAAGAACCCAACAGACAUCUCUGAUCAAAUACUGGAAGAGCUUGAAAGGCUGUGAAUGUAAUACUGUAAGGAAUCGUUUCUUGUACUGCUGCUGAACUAAAUUUGGACCAUAUUAAAUUUGCAUUAGGAAAACACUGUAUAAUUGAGAAAACAUAUUGUGCUGCUUGCUUCACGGACAGUAUAAUGCAAGAACAAGAAAUAGAAAUUUAUAAAUACUAGAGCAUUAAAUUUUAACCAGAGAAUGGAAUACAGACCAGUAAAACAAUGGUGCAAUCUCUACUCUGGCAUUUCUCUGAUGCCAAACAUUUACAACCACAAUGUCAUUGUCACUAUUACUAUGUGGAAGGUCAUUCUUACAAUUAGGAUCAUUUCCUGUGGAGUCCAAGUAAUUUUAGGCUACUUUUUUAAAGUCAGUGUCUUGGUUUUUCAAAAAAUUUUACAUUGCAAAAUUUGAUGAAUUGUUGUACUUUAGAGUCUGAUGUGUGUCACAUCUGAUGUGUGUCACAUCCUGAGGUGUAAGAAUAACUUUAUUCCAUGCACUCUAUUGACUAAGGCUGAUGGGUGUAAUGAUAGGUCUAAAAGCCGGUGGAACACUUAACUUUGUAAUUGUUCAUGUCAGUUCUAAAUUAUAUCUACAUUAACAGGUUAAUUAUUGUAAUUGCUCAGGUUUUAUAUUCAGAUGUGUAAUUGACUAGUAGAAACAUAUUUUCAUGAAAAUGUUUCACAAAGGACCUGUAGAAAAUUGUUAUACUCACUAUACUUACACGUCUUUCUUUUUCAUAAAUGUGAAGAGUAUGUAAAUAUAUGUAAAAUGAAAUGAAAUUUAUGAUAAUUCUCAGUUAAACUUCAUCUUUGAAACAUUGUGCAGUGUUUUUGUGAAUGAUGGUGUCACUGAAUUAAUGCACUUAUCAGACAUCUGUAUAAAACUGCUGUGACAGUAUUGUAUUCUUUAUGAUGUUACUACACAUAAAAAUCCGUCCAAUUUGUUAGAACAUAAAGAUUUUUUGGUUGUGAAUAAAACAACUUAUUGUUGUCAAAACUUUGAA
rnacentral:misc_RNA from 1 species